AUUGAACGCUGGCGGCAGGCCUAACACAUGCAAGUCGAGCGGAUGAAGGGAGCUUGCUCCUGGAUUCAGCGGCGGACGGGUGAGUAAUGCCUAGGAAUCUGCCUGGUAGUGGGGGAUAACGUCCGGAAACGGGCGCUAAUACCGCAUACGUCCUGAGGGAGAAAGUGGGGGAUCUUCGGACCUCAUGCUAUCAGAUGAGCCUAGGUCGGAUUAGCUAGUUGGUGGGGUAAAGGCCUACCAAGGCGACGAUCCGCAACUGGUCUGAGAGGAUGAUCAGUCACACGGGAACUGAGACACGGUCCAGACUCCUACGGGAGGCAGCAGUGGGGAAUAUUGGACAAUGGGCGAAAGCCUGAUCCAGCCAUGCCGCGUGUGUGAAGAAGGUCUUCGGAUUGUAAAGCACUUUAAGUUGGGAGGAAGGGCAGUAAGUUAAUACCUUGCUGUUUUGACGUUACCAACAGAAUAAGCACCGGCUAACUUCGU
rnacentral:rRNA from 1 species